rnacentral:rRNA from 1 species
GAUGAACGCUGGCGGCGUGCCUAAUACAUGCAAGUCGAGCGAACGGACGAGAAGCUUGCUUCUCUGAUGUUAGCGGCGGACGGGUGAGUAACACGUGGAUAACCUACCUAUAAGACUGGGAUAACUUCGGGAAACCGGAGCUAAUACCGGAUGAUAUUUUGAACCGCAUGGUUCAAAAGUGAAAGACGGUCUUGCUGUCACUUAUAGAUGGAUCCGCGCUGCAUUAGCUAGUUGGUAAGGUAAUGGCUUACCAAGGCAACGAUGCAUAGCCGACCUGAGAGGGUGAUCGGCCACACUGGAACUGAGACACGGUCCAGACUCCUACGGGAGGCAGCAGUAGGGAAUCUUCCGCAAUGGGCGAAAGCCUGACGGAGCAACGCCGCGUGAGUGAUGAAGGUCUUCGGAUCGUAAAGCUCUGUUAUUAGGGAAGAACAUAUGUGUAAGUAACUGUGCACAUCUUGACGGUACCUAAUCAGAAAGCCACGGCUAACUACGUG